CCUCACAGAUUGCUUUAGGAUGAGUUAAAACAUAAGUCACACUUGGAAGAUAUGGUGUCUAGAAUGGACUCCUAAUCACAUAUGUAUGAAGCCAAGGAAAUAUUUCAACGGAGCUGAUGUUCGGUUCAGACAGCUGAGAUGCGUGAGCUUCAGACAACAGCCAAAACCCUCUAGUCUUAUCGGCUCAAGCAAAGCCCGGCGCCGUGACUCGACCAGUAGUCUAUUUCAGGAGACCAAAUGUGUAUUUCGUAAACAACAUGUAAGUUGCAGCACCUCUGCCGAUAAAAUCCUCCCCCAACACCUAUCCUUUAUGGCAGAUAUGCAAAGCAGAGUUUUGAUUCGCUACUCUACGGAAGAGUGACCUUGGUGUGACUCUAACCAAGCAAGUUGCAGACCCAUUUGAAAAAAAAUUUAAGUCUCUGAAGAAAGAAAUCGAAGAAGAUAUCAGAAGACGGAAAGAUCUCCCAUGCUCAUGGAUCGAUAAGAUUAACAUAGUGAAAAUGGCCAUUCUGUGAAAAGCAAUCUACAGAUUCAAUGCAAUUCCCAUCAAAAUACCAACACAAUUCUUUACAGACCUGGAAAGAAAAAAUUUCAACUUCAUAUGGAAAAACAAAAACCCAGAAUUUCCGAAACAAUCUCGUACAACAGCAUAGUAUCUGAAGGUAUCUCCAUCCCCAAUCUCAAGCUGUACUACAGAGAAAUAGUAAUAAAAAUGACAUGGUAUUGGCAUAGAAACAGAACAGUGGAUCAAUGGAACGGAAUAGAAGACCCAGAAAUAAACCCACACACCUAUGGAUACUUGAUUUUUGACAAAGAAGCCAAAACCAUUCAAUGGAAAAAAGACAGCAUCUUCAACAAAUGGUGCUGGUCCAACUGGAUGUCUACAUGCAGAAAAAUGCAAAUAGAUCCAUAUUUAUUAUCAUGCACAAAACUAAAGUCCAGGUGGAUAAAAGACCUCAACAUAAAACCAGACACACUAAAUUGGUAGGAAGAAAAAGUGGGAAAGAGCCUAGAAUUCAUUGGCACAGGAGAAAACUCCCUGAACAGAACACCACAGCACAGGCUCUAAGAGCAACAAUCAAUAAAUGGGACCUCAUGAAACUAAAAAGCUUCUGUAAAGCAAAGGACACUGUCAUCAGAACAAAACAACAACCUACAGACUGGGGAAGGAUCUUCACCAACACUAUAUUUGACAGAGGGCUAAUAUCCAGAAUAUAUAAAGAACUAAAGAAGUUAAACAGCAACAAAUCAAUUAAUCCGAUUAAAAAAUGGGGUACAGAGCUAAACAGAGAAUUCUCUAUAGAGGAAUAUAGAAUGGCAGAGAAACACUUAAAGAGAUGCUCAAUGUCCUUAGUUAUCAGGGAGAUGCAAAUCAAAACGACCCUGAGAUUUCCAUUACCCAUCAGAAUGGCUAAGAUCAAAAACUUAAGUGAGUCAGGAGCCAGACACAGAGGCCCUCUGAAAGGCUCUGCCCUGCAGAUUAUCAGUGCAGAUGCUGAGACUUAUGGGCAACAUUUGGGCAGAGUGCAGGGAAUCUUAUGAAAGAAGUGGGAAACAGUAAGAUCUGGAGAGGACAGGAACUCCACAAGAAGAGCAACAUAACCAAAAAAUCUGAGCACAGGGGUCUUUCCUGAGACUGAUACUCCAACCAAGGACUAUGCAUAGAGAUAACCUAAGACCCCUGCACAGAUGUAGCCCAUGGCAGUUCAGUAUCCAAGUGGGACAGGGACUGUCUCUGACAUGAACUGAUUGGCCUGCUCUUUAAUCACCUCCCCCUGAGGGGGGAGCAGCCUUACCAGGCCACAGAAGAAGACAGUGCAGCCACUCCUGAUGAGACCUAAUUGACUAGGAUCAGAAGGAAGGAAAAGAAGACCUCCCCUAUGAGUGGACUUGGGGAGGGGCAUGCAUGCAGAGGGUGGAGAAAGGGAGGGAUUGGGAUGGGAGGAGGGAGGGAACCACAGGGGAGAUACAAAGUGAAUAAAGUGAAAAAAAAAAGAAAAACAAAAAUAGUUUAAAACACAAACAAACAAACAAAAAAAAAACAGACAAAAACUCAAGUGACAACACAUUCUGGAGAGGUUGUGGAGAAAGGGGAACCCUUCUCCACUGCUUCUGGGCAUGUAAACUUGUACAACCACUUUGGAAAUCAAUCUGGCACUUUCUCAGGCAAUUAGGAAUACUGCUGCUUCAAGAUCUAGCUAUAUCACUCCUAAAAUAUAUCCAAAAGUUGUUCAAGUACACAACAAGGACUUUUGUUCAACCAUGUUUGUAGCAGCUUUAUUCAUAAUAGCCAGAACCUGAAAAUAAUCCAGAUGUCCCUCAACAGAGGAAUGGAUACAGAAACUGUGGUACAUUUACACAAUGGAAUAUUACUCAGCAAUUAAAAACAAGGAAAUCAUGGAAUUUGCAGGCAAAUGGUAGGAUCUAGAAAAGAUCAUCCUGAGUGAGGUAUCCCAGAAGCAGAAAGCAUACAUGGUGUAUACUCACUUAUAAGUGGAUACUAGACCUAUAAGAUAGGAUAAGCAUACCAAAAUCUGUACACCUAAAGAAGAUAAACAAGAAGGAGGUCCUCUGGUAAAAUGAUCAAUCCUCACUUAGACAAAUGGGAUGGACAUUGGAAGUAGGAGAAAACAAGAAACAGGACAGGAGCCUACCACAGAGGACCUCUGAAAGACUCUACCUAGCAAUGUACCAAAGCAGAUGCUGAGACUCACAACCAAACCUUGAACAGAGUGCAGGGAAUUCUAUGAAAGGCAGGGGAGUUAGUAUGACCUGGAGAGGACAGGAGCUCCACAAGGACCAAAUAUAUCUGGGCACAGGGAUCUUUUCUGAGGCUGAGUCUCCAACCAAGGAACAUGCAUGCAUAUAACCUAGAACCCCUGCUCAGACUUAAGCCCAUGGCAGCUCAGCAUCCAAGUGGGGUUCGCUAGUAAGGGAACAGGGACUGUCUCUAACAUGAACUCAGAGGCUGGCUCUUUGACCUCCCCUCUCCCCCAAGGGAGGAGCAGCCUUGCUAGGCCACAGAGGGGAACAUUGUAGGCAGUCCUGAUGAGACAUGAUAAACUAGGGUCAGAUGGAAGGGGAGGAGGACCUUCCCCAUCAGUGGACUUAGAGAGGGGC